GCCAGGUGUGGUGGUGCAUGCCUGUAAUUCCAGCAGCUUGGGAGGCUGAGGUAGGAGGAUAUUGAGUUCAAAGCCAGCCUCAGUGAAGAGAAGCGCUAAGCAACUCAGUGACACCCUGUCUCUA
rnacentral:sRNA from 1 species